UAGCGGUGAAUGGUAUAAAUAUGAACCGUUCAUACUAGCUAGUCAAGCAAAACAAGUAUUCUACAUCGAUGAUCUCGUUAGAGGACGAGAUUGGAAAGUUGUCCAAGAAGUGAAUCAUCAGCAAGUUUGGGACUUUCCAGAUGCUUCAGAUAUGAUUGCUGAUGUUGAUGUUGUACAUGACACUAACUCAUCGAAUUUUGUUUUGACUGUGGAUCUCAGAGAGUUGGUUGUUCAGCAAUCUGAUGUACCAGCGACUCAAGUCAACACGGCCCAUCGACCUUCUUUAGUUGUUCAAGAAGAUGAUGGAUUUAUUAAUGACAAUGAAGAUGAUAUGGUAGACAGUGUAGAAGAAGUAGAAGAUGAGGGUGAAUUAAUUGUCGACCUUAGUGAUGAUAAUACUGAUGAUGUGUGCCCGAUAGAUGUUGAUGUAAUUAUUGAGGAUAGUGACUAUUCUACUUAGUUUUGUAUCUAGUGUUCAAUGUAUUAUACAUAUUGAGAAAUAAAAAGUUCGUUUCCAAAUAGCAUGUUUCAAAUUACCUAAUCAAUUGAAAUAAUACUCAAUAAAUUAAUUAUAAAUAAUAAUUAAAUAUUAAAAUAGAUAGGUUAAAUUACUGUCGUGUUAGUAGAUGUCAGCAGAUGUGGCUAGAGCUCACGGUGGAGACGCUGGCGGUGAUCCUCCACCGGAUCCUACUAGGAUCCCGACUACAUGCGAGUCAGGAAUCCCAACUAAGAAAAAGGGUCGUGGCGCAGCUAUUGGAAAAGAUCUAGAGGAGAGGCGGCGUAAAAAUGGAAAACCACUGGAAGUAGCAUUUUGCCCAUGAACGUACAAGGUUGUUGGGGGCGAGCACGCUGCUUUUGUCCGCCUUGUGGGAACCCAAAUUAAAACGAAAGUUCCCGGACAUUACGGUUCAUGGGAAUUAGUGCCUAAACAAUACAAGGAUCAGGUCCUUGGCAUAAUUCAGUACUAUUAUCAAAUAGCGGGCCGCGAGGAUUUCUUAAAGUGUUUAGAUGGUAUCGAUCGAGAGAUGAAAGACCGAUACCGUAAUAGGAAAACACUAAGACACGAACACUUUGAGAAACACUACAAUGGACCGGAGGAUUGGGAUAAGGUUCUAAACAACCCAACCAAUGAUGUUAACAAGGAGGAGUGGAAGCAGAUCUGUCAGUUAUUUACAAGUCCACAAUUUAUUGCGCGCUCCAUAAAGAAUAAGGAAAAUCGGAAGAAACAAAAGUAUUCUACAACGCAAGGUACAAAAUCGCUGGCAGCCGUCCGUUUU